rnacentral:piRNA from 1 species
UCCUAACGCUGAGGGAUGAGGCGCAC